AUGACCGAAUCUCGGGCAAGAAAGCUGCCGGCGGUGUUUGUUGCGCGCGUCGCCACGUUCGCCAUCGCCUUUCGAGUGAAUCGAGGGGCAGGAGCACCAAGCCCACGCAGGGCGACCGGGAUGUACAUUGACAGGAAGUGCCCAUUCACAGGAACUGUUUUAUCAGAGGCAGAAUUAAUGCUGGAACAUGCCACAAUGUAUGAGAAGAGGCACCCCAGCAUUUCUCCUCACAUUUCUCCUUUCUUCCGGGUCAAGGAAGGAGACCAUGUCAUCAUUGGCCAGUGCAGGCCUUUGUCGAAAACUGUGAGGUUCAACCUCCUUAAAGUCAUUCCACCUGUGUCCACAGGCGGCACUGGAAAGAAAACAUUCACGGCAGCUUGA
rnacentral:rRNA from 1 species